rnacentral:lncRNA from 1 species
UGUUUAAAUUGCGUGUGUAUUGCCUGAGACUAGAUAGAGUUCUAGUGGCAUAACAGGGCAGAAAAACUUGUCAGAAUUUAACCCUGUUACACUAUCCAUGGCCAACAUGCACAAGACCUUCAAAAUAUUUGCUAGUACAUUACAUGAAGCUGUAGAGAAAGAAAUGUACAAACAAUAAGCUAUGGUAUGAUUGAUGUCUCCAAAUCGAAAACCAAGUCCUUAUACUGAUAAUUUGCAUUCAUUGGAGCACCACCAAGCCAAUGCCACAUCAGUCUUCAGUACCUUAACUUCUGCCACUAGCUUAUAUACAUGUUGCUAAGCCUGCAUCAUUUCUUGACUUCCAUAUAUAAGACCCUGCAAUCGUUCGGACGACAAGAAAAUUGUUAACGUACAGACUGUCAAGUGAUGGAUCUUAUACACUACCACUAAUUUCGAGAUGUUCAAAAGAUAAUGCAUUCUGAAUAUAGAUACAUAGUCUUCCAUUGAAGGAAAAAAUAGGCACCUUUAAACAAUCAAGCUGUUUAACAGCACUGAUGUUCUGUCUCCUUCAGGCCGCCCAGUUUAACCUUGUCCCUGAAAAGAAAUCUUUCAGCACCGCGUGUAAUCCUAUACAGGUAAGAAAAUUUAAUAACUAUACAUAUAUUUCAAGAAGUAUGAACUACCUACCUUGUUUUUUGAAAUUCGAAUCAUAUGCCUAGGCAGAGGUCCCAACACCCUCUCCAUUAAAACCAGAUCAUCCAAGUUCUCAUCUAAGACUACUAACCGUAGGAGCUCCACUACUAUGACUAUACAACCAAUACUCCACUGAUCACAAGGAUAAUUCCAUCUCAGUCCUGAAACAAAUACGCAUGUUACAGAAUUUAGUCUUGGUACCAAAAAUGUUCCUCCUGAUGAGUGAUGAAGGCAUUACUGAAGAGAAUUGAAGCGUGUGACAGAAUCAAGAAGAGUAGGUCAGUCCAAGAACAAAUACAGCUCAAGAAUCUUGACAUUUCCUGUAAACCUGUAACCACAGAGAUGUUCAUCAACGUAUCUGGAUUCAAACUUCUUCUUCUUUGCUUUCCUUUCAGUGCGUCCAAAAUGGUGAUUUUGCCAUUCACGGACUAUGGCCUAAUAUGUGGGAUGUAAGCUAACCAUUACUGAUCCAAU